UUAAACUAGAAAUCAUAUCAACUGUUCUUACCGAACCAUUGCUUUAUUAAAGGAUACGGAUUUCAGCCAUUGAAAGAUGAAAGGUGUCGUUCUACUUUGUUUUGUCCUAAUUGCUGUGGUUUCUGGUCAGCUAUUUACAGCUCAUCUUUUUGAUGGCUUAAUCCAGGAGCUGGAAAAGAUCGAAACCCGCCUUCACAAAACCGCUGUGAUUACCCAGGCGACGUGUGUCCAGGACUGUCACGACAACAUGCCAGUCAAACACUUGUGCAAGCACCUGUGUCACGAAGCUGGAAAGAUGUUUGACAAUAUCUCUGAAACAUAACUGCUCAGCUUCGACGACAACAACCCAUUUUGGUUUUCAAGCUACACACCAACAUAGAUUGAAUAUGUCCAACGCCAAAGAGUGAAAUAAAAAAACAUGUUUUCGUCAA